rnacentral:tRNA from 1 species
GGCCAGGUAGCUCAGUUGGUAGAGCACGGCAUUGAAAAUGCCGGUGUCCCCGGUUCAAGUCCGGGUCUGGCCA